CAGAACCUCUACAUGCUGUCUGAGUUUAUCCACACAACACCCUUGAGAGAUGAAGAUUUAUAUCUCUGUUAAUAGACGAAGAAACAGAGACUGUGGAGCAAAUGUACAGGCGAUUUUGCCUGAAGAGGGCAGUGCUUCACCAAUGGACGGAAUCUCUGAUAUUACUAAAUAAAUAGGAGGAUAUUCUAUGCGAGGAUACCGAAUUGGGUUUGUUGUCAGAAGAGUG
rnacentral:lncRNA from 1 species